CGUUCUGACCUAGAUUACGUCAGAGCUUGCGAAUCAAGGUACUAGAAUCAAGAUGGCGGCCUAGUUUCAGUGUCUGUACUCUGUUGACAUUAUUUACGUGAACUUUUGACCGUUUGUUCUUAAAUACUUGUGGAAAUAUGAAUAAAUAAAUGGCAUGUCUGACAAAAGUAGUUAAAUUAUUUCAUUGUUUUGCUCAACUUUAUUAUUUUUAUUUAUUCCUUACAUCCGCGAAUCAUGGUUAGUCGAGGAUACGUUUAAAAUAAGUAAACACUAAAAGUGCACACUGACAGUUGAUUACGAUACAUCUAACAAUUUGAGUCAUUACAGUAAAACAUGGAUUAUAAGUGAAUUAUACGCGUAAGAGAAGAUUUUCUGUCGAAAAAACUAAUGUCAACAAUCAGCAUGGAAUUGGGAUAUUCGUAUCAAAGGGCAAUUCAUGCAGGAAAAGGACUGAAUAUUACUAUUAUAUGAAGAAUUCCAGCCUGCAUUAAAUACUUUGUUGGAUCAUUGAGACAGAUUUGACAUCCAUGUCUAUCCACAUCUGAUAGAGAUGAUCACUAAACAUUCUAGAUGGGUAAAGACCUGUUAAAUCAGCAUUGACUCAGCAUUGAGUAAUUUUCAUCUGUGCAGACACUACAAGUACAAACGCAUGGGAACAAACCAAACUUCAAAUGUUGAAGAGUGAAGAAUUAUUGUGAAAAGUUCUAAAUGUUAGAAUACCAUUGACUAAAUAAAACAAAUAGACAUCGCUUACCAACAGAGACUGUUUACAUGUUAUAAUAUUCAAAAGACAUUAGUUGAGAACUUUCACUCUGACAUUUUUGGAGGGGCAUUAUCGCCUACUUAGUGUUCUUGUUUUUUUACAUAUUUUAAUUUAAAAGUACAUUCAUUGUUUUUAAAUCUGAAUUCAUAGUUAGUAUCAUAAGUAAAAUUCAUUUAUUUGAAUGAUUACAUUUUAUGAAUAAGUCCAAUUGAGCUUUUUACAAGAAAAAGGUUGAUUUUUAAGCAUUUUAUUAGUUAUAAAAAUGUAUAGUUACAUGACAUUAUGUAUAUUUUCUUCAAAACUGAUCGGUAAACUAUCAUAAAUUGUCUUUUGAAUUGUUCAUUAGACAUCAUAGAAAUUUUUUAAAUGAUUUCAGCAGGUUGUCUUAUUAUUAACUAUUUUUUUAUGAAUUUAUAAAACUGCUAUAUAUUUUCAAACAUCGAAAUACUGCUCUGUUCCGAAGACUCACAAGAUCAAUCAAAAUGAUUUUUUUCCAUGUGUAUCAAUAAUAUGUUCGGUUGAACGUAAUUUUUCUGUUAACUGAAGUUUAUUUUACCAGAAACUGUUGUGUUUAUUUAAUAAUCUCUGAUAAUGUGAAAAAAAAUCAAAUAAAGACAAAAUAUUUUUAAUUAACAGUAAAAAAUCUUCAAAAUUUGGAUAAAAGUCCCAUAACGUACCAUGAUAAUGACUAUGUUGUCCGUAAAAGCUUUAUAAAAGUGUGUAUUACUUAUACCUUAAUUCAGUUCAAAUAAUUAUGGCCUUUAAGGAUUUGUGUUUUCAUAAUAUAGAUUUCCUGUUAUAUUGAGCUUUGUCAAUUUGUGUUGAUGUUUUGUUUUAUGUACAAUUACUACUUCUAUUUCCUAACUUUUGUCUCAUUUGUCAAAUUGAAUUGUUGCAUAUUUAAGUGAAAAAACACACACACUAUUUUUAAAGAUGCACUCUUACUCCCCAAUAAGACUUAUGAUAAUUAAUAUUAUUGUUUUUCAAAAUGAGUUGAGAGAUGUCAACAACAAUGUUUCUAAUGAAGGAUCUUGAGUUCAAUUUGCUAAUAAGAAUGAACUUAAAACAUGGUAUUUCUGCCUUGUGAUACUAUAGUAGACCACAGUAAAUCUUUUAGCAAUCACCAAUUGAUCAUUUAAUAUUUGUCAUGCAUUCUGCUAUUAUAAACAGAGUGACAAGCUUGUUAUCAGUAGACGAUAUUUCAGUAAAUGCAUUAUUUAGUAAGUAGUUAUUGUUUUUUCAUUCAAUUUGAUGUGUGUUAUAUAUACAAUUAUAUGUAUUGAUUUUAAAUAAGAGUUUCACUUUAAAGAUGCUCAUUUAAAGAUAAUGAACAGACACACAAAAACUAGACACAUUUGAUACUAAUUAUACGAAUGAUUAUUGUUUUAUAUAUAGGUGACCUCUGAUUUGUUUUGGAGAUAUUCAUAAAUGGGUGUUAUUCUUUAUUGUCUUCAGUUUCUUAUACAUUUAAGGAUUUUUAUAAUUGCUUUUCUGGUAUAUAUUACAAUGUAAUUUAAUGCAAAUGAAAACACACUUUAAACUGGACACAUUUGAUACUAAUGAUAUAAAUGAUUAUUGUUUACAUGUACUCUGAUUUGUUAUGAAGAUAUUCAUAAAGGGGUGUUCUUCAUGUUAUUAUACAUUUUGGACUUGAUUUAGUAUUGCUUUUCUGGUAUAUAUUCAUUUAAUGCACAAAGAAAUUAUUUUAAGUGUUCAGUAUCACUUUCACACAUUGUUUACUAUUAUUUUUUUGCAUAUUUGGCUUAUUUAUGCUUAUAUGUGCAUUGUUGUAUUUCAAAACCUUUGUGAAAAAUAGAAACAGUAUUAUUUCCUUCAUACAUAGUCUGAUACAUAUUCAGUUUGAAUGCGUUAUUUUUAUCAUAUUUGAAAAAAAUGCCAUUGUCCAAUAAGACACAUGCUGUUUUUGUGUUAAUAUCAACUAAAACAUCCAUUUUCUACUCUUCUUUACUAUGUAAAUGAAGAAGUUAACAUUAGUAUUAUUAAACAGCUAAAAACAAGGCAUGUUAUGUUAUAAAUGCAUUUCAUCUAGUAAACAAUGUUCACUUUUUAUAUAACAGUUCAAUAAUUAUGUUCUAUUUAUGUUUGCAACUUUACAGUUCAAUAAUUAUGUUCUAUUUAUGUUUGCAACUUUCGGACGAAAUGAUAAUAUUUAUUAAAGUACUACACAAAUUGUUAAAUUGUUAUUUCAUAUCACUUCUUCAUGAUGAAUGAGGUAACUUAUUCUUCCCUACAAGUUGUCAUUCCAGCAUGGUGACGUUGCCCCCUCCCCCUUUAUGAUUAGAACUGCAGUGUACAUGAACAAUAACUCUAUUUCAGCGUAUUGCAA